rnacentral:lncRNA from 1 species
UCCGUAUUAUCUAGAAGAGAAACCACCGACCAUGAGCCAAAGGCACAAAGAUCUGACCGGUGACCUAAAACUAGGUGCACGACAACCUCGAUUGCGCUGAACUAACAAAGGUCGACAAAAACAACACCUACUGUCCAGCGUCAACGUAUGCAAACCGUGAUGAGAUACGUUCCCAUGUGCGCUAUGCACCAUAUUUACCAUUACCGAGAAAGACGGGUCAUCACGAGAUCUUAUCGCAAUAGACCUAAAAGACUCUUCUCGUCUCCUGCAUCGGCGUUUGUGGGUUUACUAUUUUCAUCUGUCGUUGAUUUGGCCUUCCGCAAUAACAUCGCGGCAUCCACAACAAGCUGUAACGAUCAUGGCGAUACGGGCUAACAUCGAUCCGGAAACAAGUCGAAGAUAUAAGGACUGCAUAGCCCGAGGACAUAGGCACGAAUGUAGCUUUAUGGUGUGUUUAUCUACCUGCGUAUAUGUACGUAAUCGUGUUCCUCUUCUUCGUUCGGCGUAGGAGGCCCAUGUCGUACAUGUCCUGCGUUUGUAAUCUUGGCCGAGUUCAUCUUGGUGAUAUGUGGCCGUGACAUACUUUACCAGCAUUUAGCUUGUUACGUGGCCGCUACACAUACAUCUGCGAGAGCACGCUUUUACGCAUGAGCUAUACGGACGUGGGCGUACUUCACUGCGGAGCCUUCAAAUUCAAUGUCCUGCAGGUGUCGCGUUCAAUUACAAACUUGAUCACAAUAACUAUUUGUUUUUUCCUUAACUAAUAGAGGACUUUAUUGUUCAUUACUGAAGAAAAUCACAGUUUAUGCAGCUAGCCUUUUGUGAGCUUUGAGUUAUGAGAAAUUCAAAUUAUGAGAAAAUAUAACAACAAUAAUUACUUGUGCCAGUUGUGUCCUAUUACAGAAAAGCAAAAAUAUCUGCUUUUUGAUCCUUUCCGAAUUUCUUAAGGUUGUGAGGACGGUAUAUCGCAAUAGCGAGAAAUGUUUUCUCUUAGAAAGACAUUUAGCGGAUUUUCCAAAACAAUAGAAUGAUCAAAGUUUUAGUAAGUUAUAUAAGAAAAAUAAAAAUCACACCACGAACAUAGUGUCGGAAAGGAUAAACGUUAGAGAUGUUUAUUUCAUUCCGGACUCAUAGAAGUUAGAAAGAAGAAAAUUAACUAACUCGACAGUAGGACAGCAUUAGUGGAAGCAGAACGGAAGAAUAUUAUUAAAUAAUAAAGUGACUAGACAACAAAUGAUGGUAUAGUAAUAAUGAUUCUACUUGGAAAAUGUUAGUGUUGUCAAAGAGACAUAUCAUUUCCAUUCGAUAAAUCCAGAUUUGCACAAAAUCUACGCAUCACGCAUAAGACCGCUAGAUAUUCUCGACAGAUGUUAACAGAUACAGGCUUUAUUAAUAUAGUUAAUCAGACGUUAAAAUGUUCUCAUUCCAGACAACUGGUUGGCCUGGAAAUUACACCUCAUGGCUUCUAUCGUAAUAUUUAAGGGAUCCCAGAGCUGGAAUCUGCAAUGCAUUCCAGUUUAGCCGGUCGGCCAAGGACCAAAAGUUUGUUCCAUGGAACUACGACGGUGUUUUCAGUGUGUAGCGAAGUAGUAUACAAGGCUGAUCCAAAAUUUUACCGAAGCGUCGCCAGAAAUCGAUUUGCGCUGUUUUUACAUUGGUCCGUCUUGAACUACCAUGAUCCUCUUUCGUCAUUGUUGUUGUUGUUGUUGCCCUUGUUGCGAUGCUCCUCGUUGAGCUAAUCAAUUUUGUCCAAUUUCGUGGCGAAGAUCCUCCUACCCUCUACGGUUCCCGCUCACCAUUACUCUAAUGUGGAUUUACCCUCGGGCAGAAUUUUGUAACACAACGUCGAGGGGGCUUGCCCACUCGUGCGGUUGCUGGGUUGGUCGGCUUGGGCCCACCUUCCUCGGCCUGUGUUGAAGUCUUCGACUAUGUUCUAGUCAACGUUUGGCACCUUAGAGGUGAAUAAGCAUAUAUGACUAACAGCUGACUAUGCCAUUUGAAAACAGAAACCUCUCGCCCGUCGCUAAAGGAGUAAAGGCAUAAGUCGUUACACCGGACAAACGCGUGCACUCACGCGAACUCAUUCAACACACGGUCUACUGUGCUAGCAAACGUAUUUUCUUAGCAGCGGUGUGCAGGGCAUGAGGACGAAAUGGAUGAAGGGUACCAGCAAGUUCGGAGAUGUGAAUGGGUAAACAAUUCGACCUGCAGGCGGCAGGCAUCAGGAUAAGCGAGCUGAAAACCAGCUAACACAAAGGCUGCUUCGUGCCCCUAUCGGCCUCGACCAAAACGUUAGCUCGUUAAUCUGUUGCGCACACAUCCAACUCUACCCGCGUCUCUCUACCUCUUGCUCUUCGACCAGACACGAGGUUUGUGCGAAUAGGAGCGGAUUCAACGAAUAGAAGAGUAGCAAAAAUUAUAGCCAUUGCAAUGUGCACAGGCUGCGAGUUUGUCAGUUAUCGUUCGUGGCGUAAAAGCGUUAUCCUGCUCCCGUUCGAUGGUUCGACCCGAUCCUCCAACCUAACCCGCUGAGCGACAUACUACUAAAUUUCAAUAGGCAUUAGAUAAUGACAAAUAAUAAUUUUGCAGCUUUUGGUACCACUACUCGCUGCAGGGACAAAUCAAUAACUUUCCAUCAAAGCAAUUAUGAUAAGAGAGACAUCGGUAGGUGUAAACUCAUUAAAGUAUUCACUCAAAUAGACUACAUACAAAAAAAAAUCCAGCGGAAUAAAAUUUUCGGUCGAUAGCAGGCCAAAGAUGCAAGGCUUAGAACGGUUAAUAAAUACGAAAGGUGCAAAGAAAUGCAGAGAGUCCGAAGAAGGCUAAUCGUUGAAGCCUCUCUGGACCAUUCAAUAUGGCAACUGAUACUUUGCUGCUUAGAUGUAUGUUAAUUCCUAUGUAAAAGAUCAGUUUUGAUGAAACCCUAAGCCCUUAAUUUAUAGCCCUAUAACCCUAUAGAAAACGUUCCGGUUUUUCCCAGAAAUCUUCCUCAACCUUUUUUGAAGCCGCAUAAGAACUGACAAUAAUGUUGACCGUCGAUUUCAAGCAAAAACGAAAAUUCUUAAUCUCAAUAGAGGUUUGUACUACAGAAACACAUUGAACAAUAGCUGGUUUUCGCUGAAUUUCGCUGUAGAAAAAAACUGACUUUUUCCAAACGCAGCGAAUGAACCUAUACCCGGUACGGUGAACAGCCUGCUAACACUUAUCCAAAUUAAAGUGCCCUAUUCUCUAAGAUACGUACAUAAGCAUCAAUAGAUUUACUGGGUAGAGGUAUUAUAGAUAACGAUAUCAAGCUUGUUACGUGUAUAGCAAUAAUAGCACUAAGAGAAUACCGUAAAAGAAAGCAAAACUAUGUGUUUCUGACUUCGUAAAUUAUAUCUGCUUGUGGGAAUGAGGUCUUACACAGAGUUGAAACUUUUUAAUGUUUUUGUACGAGCUAAGCCUAACACGAUUUGCCUAUUUCUCCGGUUAUGUCCAAUUGUAAAAUUACUAAACGACAGAAUAUGCAUGGCAUAGCAAAGUAAGGCCAGUUGUCCUGGUCGGUUUCAUUGCAAUAUCGAUGAGACGCUAAUCUAACUGAAAUGUGUUAAUCUUCUAUAAAUAUUUUGAAAAAAUGCCAUUAUCUAUUUGUAAAUAUUAGGUACGGAAUGUGAAAAGCCUUUUUCUUCUAAAGAGACCCUUAUAAACAUGUAACUUUAUAAUUUAAUAUUUGCCCUCUACUUUUAUUUAGAGGUCAUGCGCUUCCACAGAGAAACUCGGCCCGUAGUUUCUUUUUUACUUUAUAGCACAAAAAUUAUUGGAUUAUUAAGUUAUUUCAAAUUAAAACAGUACAACUGAGAUUCAAACGAGUACCCAUCGUCUAGCUCUGUUCUAACAUCGUGUAGCGUGCGGAUAUGGAAGCAAUUGCAGCUUAAUCUUUAGUAUUCCCUCUGGAUUCCUGGAUCCUGAACGUUCCGCAUUAACUAAUCAAUUUCUAUCUUAAGUUGGCAACUGCAUAAUAGCGCUGGUAAUGAAUCAUCAACAGAAUCUCACGUUCUAAGUUAAAUUUUUUUUUGGCAAGAAGCGAUGACACUGCCAUAGCGCAACUUUUUUUUGUUAUUAGUAAUGGGCGUCUAGACUUGAUAAUUUUUUAGAAGUGAAUGAAUGAAUGGCUGCCUUAACUACUCUUAGUUCUUCGUCUUUACUUCAUUAUCAAUACCGACAACGAAAACGACAGUAACGCUAACAACAGCUCCGCAAGACGAGCCAUAAUUAGCUGGGCCUAGCAGACGGCCGGUGGACGGUGGGGGCAGUUUAUACGUGUCCUAUUCCAGAAGCUCGAAAAGGAAGAUCCAAUCGACUUGUCAGACGAAGAACCACGAACGGCGCAGCACGACCAAGCCAUCAGUGCCGCUGACUUUUCAGCCGGCUUCAGAGGGCAUGUAAUGAAUGUCCUGAUGAUUUGAUGAACCAGCGCGUCUUGGCCCGAACUCAUAAGCGACCACGGGCCUCGCCAUAUCUUCGAGUGCUUUAUGAUAAAGGCCACAUGAUGGGCAGCCGCCCCGUUCAUUUUGGUUCAAAGCAUGUUCCAAUGUGUUCAUGUCUUGAAUAUUCACGAUCUCAUGUUAUUCAAUAAUGAUCCAUUCGGGGAUGUUAGGGCGAUUGAGGGUAGUGUGGCAUACACGGCCGAUUAAAUGGGUUCUACUAACAAAAACACUAGGAAUACUUAGUCACUUAGUUUUACAUAGAAAGCAUUUUUUGUGCGGCCUGUUCUUAUGCCUAGACACAUACCUAGGCGGACUGGCGUGGAUGGCUGGGCCAACUCUCCAUUUGAAGUACCUAGAACGAGUCUGAUUGGAGCGCUUAAUGAAGGUCACUCCUGUUGUGAUCAGUUCGUCUUUAGCCAAGCAGGGUUUUUCUCGUUCGAAGAGCCCGUUUGCUGUUGGUACGCAGCACAACUGAUUUUUCGGCGUUCAGGCAAACUAUCUAGUGUUAUUAUUACUAUUAAAUGUUCUAUAGUUGAUACAUGCAACUUCGCUGACUAGCAUUCAUAACUUGUCACCAGCCCAUGCGCUUAGCAGAUUCAGAUAUUACUUACCUAUUAACAUACGCCGCUAACUGGCGCGUUACGUAAUUUUCGCUAUUAAAGAUUUGGGUCUCUUUUUCCUUGUAUGAAACAUCGCCAGGCUAUACGCUUCAGCUUUGCUGAAAUACAGAAUCAUUUGGGCACGUAUCGUCGCCCUUCUUAUGUAGCACCAUGCGCCGACUUUUUUUUUAUCGUCAUACGAAGGUCAAACGCAAACAUUAACACGUAAAUAUAUUGCACAACACCUCUGAUUUGAAAGCUUUUAUGCAGUAUUAUCUAGAAUAUGUUUUGUUGUGUAACUAGUAAAUGUAACGGUUUUGGUACUUUGUUAAUGUCGUUGGUAAUGUAAUGGCGAAUGAAUCAAUAAUUCUAUUUAAUUAAGUAGAUUUUCGAGAGACCAGCUCCUUCUCGAACAAAUUGAAGUUGAAAUACAAAAUACAGUAAACACGGACAUCCAAGGACAUACGAAUUCGACGAAUAUAAACGAUGUUACGUAGCGUCUUGGGCACUUAGAGAAAGCGGAAAGAACGACCCCCAAAAAUGAGAUGAACGCUAAUGCGGAUCAGAACAAACCGUGACAAAGAACGGUGAUAUUACAGCUCCAGUUUGAUCCACAGCCGUCUUCAACUGUCACGUAAAUCAGACAUCAUUUAGAUACUAAUACUGGUACACUAUUUUAAUUAAGAGAAUGAUUCGUUCGUAGACAUUUCGCCCACGGGGCUUCAUUAAGCUAACUAGCAGUGUCGUUUCAUCUGUAUGGUUACUGUUACAUGAAAUGAAGCGGAGCACGGAACUUUCAGCAUGGAGCUUCGAUGCGACGUUUUUAUUCCCUCUAUAUCGUACCUCGAUUCGGUCGUUGUCCAUUCUUUAAAUUAUGUGUAUUAAUUUAUAAAACAGCAAAAACAAAUACCGUCAAGACGACUUCUUGGGCUGGCGCAAGUAUUUAUAUUGUUGUUAUUCGUACGUACAACGAUAGGUUCUUCCGUUGUGGAUGGAUUUAUUAAUUUUUAAUUUUUUGUUAUUUUAGGCACAGGCUAGCUUUGCCACGAAAGGAAAUUAACAAGUGUUAUUAAAAUAUGGAUUUGGAUCCAAGCACGUAUCAUUAGAUUGUUGUCAAGAAUAAGUGCAAUGACAAGACGUAAAUUGCCAACAAAUGCUUCGUAGACGAGCUGCUAUCGCGAGUACGAAGCGAGAAAGAAAUAAUGAAAAUGAAAUUUUUAUAUGAUGCUUCAAAAGGUGCAACGGAAUUUUCGUCGAAAAAUAACAACUCAUGACGUUCUCUGUACUCGCUAAGAUUGUAAAAUGGGUCUAGACAGUCCAGCGGUACACUGUAAAAUGACUGACUAAGAGCUUUCCAUGUAGCCCAAGCACAGAUGCUCGGCGUGAAACAGUGAGACACUCUGAAGAUUUCAUGAUGGAACGCCUGACCGUACAUAAUACGUCGCCUAAAAACUUUGUCAGCAAUAUUGAUUUUCACAAACAUUUCGGCAUAUACGAAAAGGAAUAAACCGAUGAUUUAAAUCGUCGUUUUUAGGAUAUUUUUCCUAUCAGCUUUUUUUUUCUCUGAUUCUUCAUGCACGUGCUCGUAAGGUCGCGUUGUUGUUCCUUGCUAAUAAGAACGAUCUGUAUUCCACUGAAUUAGGAGAAUUUGUUGCUAAGGCACCGCAAGCAAACUAAGCACUGUCGAUAGUUUAUUUUUUACAGACAUCAUGUUGCAGCCUAAAUACGCGCAUGGAGGUUUCGCCUCUUUACGUUUACUUUUCAUCUUGGAGUCUUGAUAUAGAUAUGGUUUGCUAAGGACAACGCAACAUCACUAUUGCUCGUUUAGUUGGGAGAGUAAAUGAUUUCCUACCGAACAAGGUGUACGAAUGUCGACGCAUACCCCACCUCUCGAAGAGAGACAAAGUAAUUUUUUCUAAUUACUGGUAAUUCAUGGUAGCGAUACUGUGCAUAUUAAUAUACGUGACGGAGACGACCUAAUACAUACAACAGACUCAAAGAUCAGGAUGCAGCUUGAGUUCGAAAUACUGCAGGCACGAAAUAGUAGUAUAGACAUCUGAUAGCCGCUAACGGCGGGACCAGAAACGAUGCAUGUUUAAAUAUCUCCAGCUAUGACAGUCAAAAUAUGACUACAUUAUAAAGCUAGCUUUAUUCUACGAAAAAUAAAAUUUUCCUUUCUUUUUUUUAUGUAGAAUUUAUCAUGCGGAAUUGAUUCCUGCCUGACUUUGUGCAUCUUUCGGGUCCUUGAUCGAGGUGGAGCCGCUGUAUGCGAAGCUUAAAUGAGGACAAGAGUUUAACACAGAUGAGAGUCGAGACUUUUCCACUAAAAAUAGAGGACUGUAGGUCAAAAGGUCAUUUAUAAGACGCUUCGCAUCUUUUCGAACUUUAUUCACAGUCCGAGGAUACCUUCAACGUACUCAGCGGUCAGCCACGUUGUAACUUUGCUUGCAAAACGUUUCGGCUCGCUAGGUAAGCGGCAGAAACGGGAUAAUUUACUUGCGAGUUACAGUGCGAGCAGCAUUCCUCUAGGGGUAAAGCCAUAAAAACUACCUUCAAGGCCUUACUGAUGUGCUUGGCCCAUAGGUCGGUCUGCCGUUCGCAUGCUGUGUGGUUAUGGUCGACAAAAUUAAAAUCACGCGAAAUCAAAACCAGCUUAAAUGUUUAACGUGGCUCCUUGAAAAUCUACUGAUACAGAGAAACAUGUUCAGUAUGAUCAAUUAAUCAUAUCCGAGCGAAUCUACCAAGUGGUUCUUCCAAAACUGAGGGAAAUUGAAGGUUACGUUGAUUGUUAUUGUGUUACUAACGGCGGUGCUUCAGCUCAAUCAAUCGAAGGACAAAUUUUGAUAGGAACUGAAGCUCCGGCCCAGUAUCUUGAUCGCACAAAGGUCUACAUCAUGUUACCCUUACUAUGCCUCUGCAUGUUUUAUCUUAAAUUGAAAUAAAAUAACUAAGAAAAAAA